CAGUUAAUGUGCCUUUUUCCAGAACAUGGUUUCAUCAUAUAUUUAUAUACUAUAUUCCUGAUAAGCAAUGGUGUAAGUUAAAAAGAAAGAUAUGUAAGGUGUCAAGAAGGACGAGACAGCUGAUAAACACACCAAGAAGACUCAUAUUGGUGUUAGAGAAUCGCUCCGUAAAUACAAGUUCUAAAUGGUUUAUUGAUCUUGCAAUGUAUGGAAUAUUAAAAAAGAUGAAUGAUGGAAAGGGAACAUAUGCUAAUAUAAUACCUCAAUAUGAUAGUUAUAUACAACGCGUUAUCUGAUUGGUCUAGAGAGUUAUAUACAAGGGACGAUAAAUAGAGAAUAACACAUGGCAAAAUCUGAAUCAUACCCCAUAUUAACCCGAUAUUCCAAUAUCAGCCUACGACCCUCGGGGUAAUACUGUUGAUGAUUGAUAUCGGGUAUGCUGCAGAUUUUGCCAUAUUUUGUUUUUUGUUUUUAUUAGAUAUUUGAAAAUAGUGACCAUAAUUCAUAUACAUCUUAAAAUAUCAAUAAGUAAUGCAAUACAAUCUUAUAGUUCACUGACGGAUAAAAGUAAAAACAAUCAUCAAAUUUAUUUGAAAUAGCACUUUUAAUGAAUUUAUUUUUUUUUAAAAAAAAUAGCAAUUUAGAUAACCAUUAUUAGUAAUAGGAACAUUGUUUCAGUUCCUUUUAGUUUUAUCUUACUAUUUAAUAAAAUUUAUAAUUACAUUUUCUUUCAUGGUGGCACUUGUAAAUACGUCUUUACGUUGUGGAAAUGGAACUGAUGCACUUGUAGACAUGUUGUUUACAAUGUCAAUAUUGAAUUCAUAGUUCACUAUUUUUUAAGAACGUCGUGAAAACCAUUAAACUCACUGAUUUCCUCUGCUGCAUCUGUUGUGUCACCCUUUGAAUAAUUCCUCAGUAGGUCUGAAAGCAUUUUGGUUUAUUGAGAGUUCACAAAAUAUCACGUUCACACCAAGAUCACCUUUAGUAAAAGCAUUUGAUUACUAUCCGUAUUUGUUUUGAAAAACAAAAUGCAGUAACACCACUGACAGAAAGAAAACCCCACGUACUUCUUAAUCUGCUUCAGAAAUCCAUCAAAUAUAGUAAAUUAUGAAGAAAUGGCAACAACUACUUCUGUUGUCUCUCACAGAACGGGAUGUAAUAUGGUGGAUUACUAACUACAAUGCCUGUCAAUAAAGAUGACAACUCUUUUUGUUAUAAACAAACUCCAAUAACAUAGUAUUCUUGUGUAUUUAAUGUCAUAUCACUUUUUUAAAAGUUUAGAUAAUCAUCCUAUCAUGCAUUUUAUAAAUGCAUAUUCUUCUCUAGUUAGUUCUUAUUUUGAGGGUGUAAAUAUGUUCACACAAGAAUGUAAUUGGCCAGUGAAUGUGAUAAAACCAUGACUUUAAAUGCAGCAGUUAUUGUAAAUAUAUCCUAUAGCAGCAAUAAACAAAACGCACUCCAUAGAUUGUAUUGUAAUUGUAUCAUGUGGUGGUUGACUGUGUGAUUGAUUGGAUAUUGUUUGACGUCCCUCUCAAAAAUAUUUCUUCACGCAUAUGGAAGCGAAGAUAACGAACAGUCUUUAAUUUCAUAAGCAAUACAAAAUAGAGAGUUGAGCAAACACGGAUCUCUGUAUAUACCAGAGGUGGGAACAGAUGUGUAGGAGAGGUAAGCAGCUCCUGUUGACCGGUCACACCCGCCGUGAGCCCUAUAUCGUGAUAAGGUAAAUUUGCGAAAUGCUGACUUUAGACGAGAUUGUUGAAACCUCUGAACCAUCAAAUUGUUUGGCAGUAGCCUGUCUCGAUUUAAAAACUGAUAAUACGCAGACCAAGCUAUUGCGUAGCGAAUCAGUUGAGAUAUAUACACACUAUACGUAGGUGAUAAUGGAAUAUUGCUACAUGUAUGUAUUACAACAUGUUUACAUGAGAUAUUGAGAACUUCAAGGCUAAUUGGGAACAAGGGAGGGUUGAAUUCAGAUUUUCACCAGCAUCGUUAUAAUAGUAUUUAUUUUUGUCAUUAACUUUAUAACACAGUAAAACAUUAAAAAAAAAACCUUUAUUUGAUGUGUUUUAUUUACAAUCAAUGCAUGGAGUGAUCUAAAAAAAGUUUCUUCCUUUUCUCGUUUUGAUGAGGCAAAUAUACACAACGACAGGGUAAUCUUGUCAUCACCAUUGAUUGAGACAUUGUAUGUAGACGUAAUUAUAUGCGAUACCCACACAUUUGAAUUCAGAAACAAACCCUCAACUACACUAAACGUCGACAUAACUGACUUGGUAUUUUGAUUACCUCUCCAGAAUCACUGGGCCAAUUAUAAUCAAACUUGUCCAAAAGCAUACUUAGGUGUAGGGCUAUCAAGUUUCUGAAGGGCCAUCCUCCUUUCAAAGUGGAGAAAAUCACAAAAAUGAAAAAUAGGGUGGGGUCAUUUAAAAAUUCUUCUCAAGAAUCACUGGGCUAGAAGAUCUGAAAUUUACAUGAAAGCUUCCUUUCAGGGUUCUUAAAAUUAUGACCCCGGGGUAGGAUCACGUCACAAUAAGGGAUCAAAGUUUUACAUACAAAUAUAUAAGGAACUAUCUUUUAAAAUGUUCUUAAGAACCACUGGGCCAGAAGAGUUGGGAUUUAUAUUUAAGCUUCCUGACGUAGUGCAGAUUCACGUUUGUAAAAGAGCAUAGCCCCCGGGAGUAAGAUGGGACCAUUAUAGUGGAUCAAAGUGUUGCAUACAAAUACAAUCUUUAAAGAUCUUCUCAAGAACUACUGGUCCAGGAAAGUAGAAAUUAACUUGAAAGCUUCCUGACAUAGUGCAAACUCAGGUGUGUUCACGUCAUGGCCCCUAGGGGUAAGAUGGGGCCACAAUAGGGGAUUGACGUUUUACAUGCAAAUAUAUAAGGAAACUCAUUUAAAAAAGCAUUCUCCUCGAGAACCACUGGACUAUAGGAAAGUACAUAUUUACAUGAAAGCGUCCUGAUAACAUUACAGACAAGUAUACAGAGAACAUGUUUAAAAAUCUUAGCCAGGAAAGCUGAGAUUUACAUCAAAACUUCCUGACAAAGUACAUGUUAAACGUUGUUGAAAUCAUGACCCCUGGGGCUAGGAUGGGGCCACAAUCAGAGUUUUAUACAUAUAUAAAUAGAAAAAAUAA